AGUACAGAGGGUUGCCAAGCCGUAAGGUGGAGCUAAUCCCUUAAAGCUACUCUCAGUUCGGAUUGUAGGCUGAAACUCGCCUACAUGAAGCUGGAGUUACUAGUAAGCGCAGAUCAGAAUGCUGCGGGGAAUGCGUUCCCGGGUCUUGUACACACCGCCCGUCACACCACGGGAGUUGGAGACGCCCGAAGCCGAUUAUCUAACCUUUUGGAAGAAGUCGUCGAAGGUGGAAUC
rnacentral:rRNA from 1 species